rnacentral:tRNA from 1 species
UGGGGUGUAGCCAAGCGGAAAGGCACUGGGUUUUGGUCUCAGGAUGCGCAGGUUCGAAUCCUGCCGCCCCAGCCA